GCAUGCGCGCAAGAAGGCCUGUGAAGCCUGUUCAUGUUCAGCUGAGUGCAAGACGCGCCCCUCAUCGGUCGAGGUGUUGGCCAUUACCAUGCGUGGUCGUUUCAAGUUGUGGCUCCCCACCUGAAUUUGUCCACCGUGGAAGAUGUGCUGGGAGGUCACGAACAUGGACAUCGUGCGGUGUGGUAUUUAUACAGCCUCUCCGGUGAACAUGUCGACCGUGAUUCACGAGGAGGUUUUCAUCACGCGGCAGAAUCUGAAGUUCCACUCACCUGGAACGUCGCUUUCUGCGUUCGUGGCGACCCUCCAAGCACUGGGACAAAAGCAUGGAUCUGUUCACAGCAGAGAUUGCCUCUCGUGGUGAUCGGAGUGGCAGAUGCUGUUCCAUGAAUGAACCGCCCUGCGGAUCACCCCUGCCAUCUGUUGGGAGCUGUACC